GCACUAAGGACUUCCUGCUGGGAGCAUGUAAAAAGUAUUAAACUGCAUGUUUUGUGUCAAUUAUUUCACGAGUCAUUCUGUUUGCUGUGGUGCGAUAAUUCUGGUUUCGAUGUGACACCGUGAGUGUGUACAACAUCCGCACUAAAGAGUAUAAACAGUUCAUGGUGGAUCGACAAAUGACAUCCCUUUGAGGUUUCUUCACCAAAUCCGAGUUUCUGCCAGUUCUCCACCGAAAGAGCAACAACGCAGCGUUCUGCGGCCUGUGGGUUUUCAGGAGCCGCUCUCCAAAUCCCGCAUUCCUGCCCAGGAGGUGGCGAUGGCUCCGCAGCCGCCUCACAUUCCUGUCCAGGAGGAGGCGAUGGCUCUUCGGCAUUUUCACGUUCCUGUCCAGAAGGUGGCGUCCCGUUCGUUCCAGUACCGGCGGCAACCGGCUCGCGGCUGCUCCCCAUUCCUGCUUCGACGGUGACCGGCCUGCAGCCGUCCCACGCCCCUGUCUCGACAGCGACAGGUAAAAUGCCUCCUCACGCCCCGGUCUCGAUGGCUGCCACCUUCCUCUCCUACUUCAAUGGCGACCGGUCCGCGGCCGUCUGAGGGCCAUGCCACGAUGGCCACCAAUCUCAAGCCGCUCCCUGAGCUAGCCUCGGGAGCGACUGAUCCCUGGCCGCCUCACGACCUAGCCUCGCUGGUGACCGAUCCACGGUUGCCUCCCGAUCGAUCCCCGGUCACCUCGCAACCACGUCCUGGGAGGUCUUCGUCCAGAACAGUCACAUGCUUCCGUCUGGUUCCUGCUUUGUCGUUGGGUUCCUUCUCGAGGACGUCCACCCGAAUCACUCCAUGGGGACCCUGGUGCUUGGGGUCCGGGUCGACCUCCUGACCUGCCCAGCCGGACGCUUCAGUUUUGGUGGCCUGGACGGCCACCAGAGAGACUGGGGGUGGGGGGGACAAUCUUGGCCCAGGAGUGACCGGAGCAGGAACAAUUAACAAUAUGUAUAUGUGUGUGUCAUCUAUUGAUAACAUUUCCAAGAUUGUUCAUCCUCUUGUAAAAAAAAAAAAAAAAGUGUCCGAAGAAUUCUUUGUAAUUUGUGGAAUAUAUCAAUUGAAAUGCCUGCUAGUGCUACACUAAGAUGAAAGGUGGGCGUGGCAGUUGACGUUUGGCAUGGGGAAUAUUAUUAAGGCCUGUACCUCCCAUUACACAUGUAUGUGUCAAUGUAUCUUCUAAACCUUCCUGGGCAUGCUGCAAAUGUUUAGAUUAUAUUCAUGUCUCUCCAAAACAUCCCAACAAUUUAGAUUCAUAACGAUGAAUGUAUGUUUACCGUGCUUUUUGCCCUGACUUGAAGACAGAGCCUAUUGACCAUGGCGGCAUCCAAAAUGGAUGCAGAGUCUGCAGUCUAGUUUUUAUUCUGUCAUUGGUGUAGGUUUUUUUUUUUUUUUAAUUGCACCGAGCAGGUGAUCUGAUGUACAGUAAAAGAACCCACAAGAGACAAUGUGAAAAUUAA